CACCCGGUAGCACACGGUGUGCAUCUGCUCUGCCUACGCAAUAGAUGAUAUAUUGCAAGCAGAAGGACCCUGUUCGAUUCGGGGCCGGGUGU